AUGUUUCAUUUCAAAUUUCCUGCCCUUAUCAACUUUCGACGGUAGGGUAGUGGCCUACCGUGGUGGUAACGGGUGACGGAGGAUUAGGGUUCGAUUCCGGAGAGGGAGCCUGAGAAACGGCUACCACAUCCAAGGAAGGCAGCAGGCGCGCAAAUUACCCAAAUCCCAACUCGGGGAGGUAGUGACAAGAAAUAACGAUGCUCCGGCCUCACGGUCGGGUAAUCGGAAUGAGAACAAUUUAAAUCCCUUAUCGAGGAUCAAUUGGAGGGCAAGUCUGGUGCCAGCAGCCGCGGUAAUUCCAGCUCCAAUAGCGUAUAUUUAAGUUGCUGCGGUUAAAAAGCUCGUAGUCGGAUUUCGGGUGGCGCCUACCGGUCCGCCUUUGGUGAGUACUGGUAGGUGCCACCUUUCUGCCGAGGACGGGGUACUGGGCUUAACUGUCUGGGCCCCGGAGUCGGCGAUGUCACUUUGAGUAAAUUAGGGUGUUCAAAGCAGGCUUAUGCUCUGUAUACACUAGCAUGGGAUGACACGAUAGGACUUCGGUUUAUCUUGUCGGUCUGUAGAUCGGAGUAAUGAUUAAGAGGGACAGUCGGGGGCAUUCGUAUUUCGUAGUCAGAGGUGAAAUUCUUGGAUUUACGGAAGACGAACUUCUGCGAAAGCAUUUGCCAAGGAUGUUUUCAUUGAUCAAGAACGAAAGUCGGGGGCUCGAAGACGAUUAGAUACCGUCGUAGUCUCGACCAUAAACGAUG
rnacentral:rRNA from 1 species